UGACUUGUGGUGGGAAGAUGUACAGAGCUGGGCUUUCGUAUCAAAUACCUAGAGUGCAAGCUGAUUUCCGGGGCAAGGAAUUGGCCAGCUUUCUGGCCAAAUGGUCCAGCAGAGCCUGAUGGAGAUGGGUACUGCCUGUGUCACUGUUUCUCUUCUUGCAAACAUAGGAGAGGCCAAAAGGAAUUUUAAAGCAUGCUCAGAGCAUUGUACGCUGAAAUAUUCUUCCCUUUCACAGAUCAUCUGGAAAAGCUCCAGUGGCAGCAAAUCCUGUAGCAGCUGAGGUGUGCGCUGACACCACAGGAUCUGCGCUGGGGGGCAGCUCUGGAGGAGCCGCAGCCUGGAGUCGUGACCGAAGCUUGCUGGGUCUGUGUGGGACGCCCGUGGCCCUCAGGUGAGGGGGAAUCAGGCCCGUGCUGCCCGCAGGUGGGCUGGGGGCUGCGGGUGGGUGUGGGGGGGCUUGGGGCCGGCCACUGGCGGCUGCCUCUCAGCCCGUGCCUCCCGGCCUGCCCCGCGCCCCAGAUCAACCCCCCGCGGGCUCCCCGCCGGGGCUCCUCCCGUGCAGUAACAGGUGUGAGCAUCCAUGCAGCAUUUUGGUGGUCAUGUAUGAUACUGCACACAGCACGAGCCUGCCUUCGGCCGCGGGGAUGUCCCCGUAUGGCCUUUGGGUUCCUUUCUUUAACCCGUACCAUAUCGGUUUAAAAAUCAAAUCGUAGAACUAAGUGGCCUUGCCCUUCCUUCACAGGCAGGUUUUACAGAUGUGGAAGGUAGAAUUUAGAUACACUGCUGAUAUUUUGUUGUUUUCCCUUGAUUUAUUGCAGGAAUAAGUUACUGAUUUAUCUGAAUUCCCAAGCUUUAGUUCCCAGGUAGCUGGGAACGCUGGCAGGCAGGAUUCUUUACUUGACCAGCCUGUGAGGUUCUGCUGGAAGCUGUGUACUUUGCUCUCCCGUUACAUCUGAGCUUCUCUUCAGUUUGACUUUUCUCCUCCAGCCGAGGAGUGCAACUGAGGUCUCAGCUAAGGCAGACACGUGUCCUCACAGGCCUGGGUUGUGAACCUGGCCCCAAAGUGGUCUGGGAUUCUGGAAAAAAAAAAUACUUUCCAAGAGAAAGCAAGGCACUUCUCUUAUUUAUUUUUCUUUGGUGUCCUUCAGGUGCUCAGCACUAAUAUGCUUUUGGCAUUUUUCAAGGUUAAAAUGCUAUGGGGAAGGAUUUUAAAGGCAGCUGGGGGUUGGCGUGCUGCUUUUCUCAGGUGUUUCAGUGGAGCUGAUGCAGAGAAGAUGGAUCUGUGCAUGGCAGAGGUCCCUAGCUUUAGCUGAACUUCUGGCUAACGCCCUGCCUGGGAAAUGUUCUCUGUUCAAAAAACAUUGCGUGAUGUUUUGUGCUAGUCAGUUUGGGGGUUGUUUUGUUUUACUGAGGCAGUGAGCAGUCUCAGGGGGUUCCUUUGAGUUUGCUGUGUACUAGCUAGAGCUGGGAGUUGUUUGUGUAAAACCAACAGGGAAGCCUCUGGGCUUUCAUUUGAAGCUUGCCUGUAACACAAGGGGACUUUGAGUGUAGCUUUCGUAUCUAAAACUGGCCAGCAGCAGGGUAGGCCAAGUACAGCACAGUGCUGAGAUAAUAAAAGUCUGGUGCUCAACUCUCCAGUAAGGGAGCUGAACAGGGAUCUAGACUGGGGGGCUUUCCAGUUAAAUCCUGCCCAGUUGCCAGCAGCCCCGUGUGUGUGUGUGUGAGCAGCUGCCAUGGCUGGCCCUGCCUGGGGAAGGUCCUGCUUAGAGGUGCAGUAGGCAUCAGCUUGUCCGGCCCUCUUCUGCAGCAGGGUUGAAACCAAAGUCUGUGUAAGCUUCUGAGCUGAUAAAAGCACUGCCAUUUUAAAAGGCAGACAUCAGUGGCAAGUGUUUGUUCCAUCAGGGUAAGUAGGAGCACGUGUCUGGAGUAACCUGGGUUCACUGCAUCUCUUCUAACAGUCCACCAGGCUACCUGCAGCUCUCUUUGAGCUUGCCAGGCACGUGCAGGAGCGCUCCCUAGUGCAGCGUUCAGCAGGUGGGCAUGAGAGCUUAAUGUUUUUUCCUCACCUGUGUCGACUCUUACCAGGAAGCAAAAGGUGUUGCUUCUUCCUGCAGACCUCACCUAACAGCGAGUGUUGUGCUUUAGGUAAAGCUGCAGAGGUGAUGCAGUUUAACACCCCCCUUUUGAUCCUUUGGACUGUGUAAGGUGAAUUUCCUGCCCU
ensembl:lncRNA